CUCCUACGGGAGGCAGCAGUGAGGAAUAUUGGACAAUGGGUGAGAGCCUGAUCCAGCCAUCCCGCGUGAAGGACGACGGCCCUAUGGGUUGUAAACUUCUUUUGUAUAGGGAUAAACCUACUCUCGUGAGAGUAGCUGAAGGUACUAUACGAAUAAGCGCCGGCUAACUCCGUGCCAGCAGCCGCGGUAAUACGGAGGGUGCAAGCGUUAUCCGGAUUUAUUGGGUUUAAAGGGUCCGUAGGCGGAUCUGUAAGUCAGUGGUGAAAUCUCACAGCUUAACUGUGAAACUGCCAUUGAUACUGCAGGUCUUGAGUGUUGUUGAAGUAGCUGGAAUAAGUAGUGUAGCGGUGAAAUGCAUAGAUAUUACUUAGAACACCAAUUGCGAAGGCAGGUUACUAAGCAACAACUGACGCUGAUGGACGAAAGCGUGGGGAGCGAACAGGAUUAGAUACCCUGGUAGUCCACGCCGUAAACGAUGCUAACUCGUUUUUGGGACGCAAGUUUCAGAGACUAAGCGAAAGUGAUAAGUUAGCCACCUGGGGAGUACGUUCGCAAGAAUGAAACUCAAAGGAAUUGACGGGGGCCCGCACAAGCGGUGGAUUAUGUGGUUUAAUUCGAUGAUACGCGAGGAACCUUACCAAGGCUUAAAUGGGAAAUGACAGGUUUAGAAAUAGACUUUUCUUCGGACAUUUUUCAAGGUGCUGCAUGGUUGUCGUCAUCUCGUGCCGUGAGGUGUUAGGUUAAGUCCUGCAACGAGCGCAACCCCUGUCACUAGUUGCCAUCAUUAAGUUGGGGACUCUAGUGAGACUGCCUACGCAAGUAGAGAGGAAGGUGGGGAUGACGUCAAAUCAUCACGGCCCUUACGCCUUGGGCCACACACGUAGUACAAUGGCCGGUACAGAGGGCAGCUACACAGCGAUGUGAUGCAAAUCUCGAAAGCCGGUCUCAGUUCGGAUUGGAGUCUGCAACUCGACUCUAUGAAGCUGGAAUCGCUAGUAAUCGCGCAUCAGCCAUGGCGCGGUGAAUACGUUCCCGGGCCUUGUACACACCGCCCGU
rnacentral:rRNA from 1 species